rnacentral:misc_RNA from 1 species
UCCGACUUAACGUCGGCAGUCCUUUUAGAGUGCCCAACUUAAUGCUGGCAACUAAAAGCAAGGGUUGCGCUCGUUGCGGGACUUAACCCAACAUCUCACGACACGAGCUGACGACAGCCAUGCAGCACCUGUGAUACGACUCCGAAGAGCGACUACAUCUCUGCAGUCUUCCAUACCAUGUCAAACCCAGGUAAGGUUUUUCGCGUUGCAUCGAAUUAAACCACAUGCUCCACCGCUUGUGCGGGCCCCCGUCAAUUUCUUUGAGUUUUAAUCUUGCGACCGUACUCCCCAGGCGGGAUACUUAUCGCGUUAGCUCCGGCACUGAAGGGGUCAAUACCUCCAAUACCAAGUAUCCAUCGUUUACGGCGUGGACUAC